UACGUAGGGUGCGAGCGUUAUUCGGAAUUACUGGGCGUAAAGCGUGCGCAGGCGGUUUGUUGUGUCGGCGGUGAAAGCCCCGGGCUUAACCUGGGAAUGGCCGUUGAAACUGGCGGACUGGAGUGUGGCAGAGGGGGGUGGAAUUCCGCGUGUAGCAGUGAAAUGCGUAGAGAUGCGGAGGAACACCGAUGGCGAAGGCAGCCCCCUGGGCUAACACUGACGCUCAGGCACGAAAGCGUGGGGAGCAAACAGG
rnacentral:rRNA from 1 species